rnacentral:rRNA from 1 species
GAUGAACGCUGGCGGCGUGCCUAAUACAUGCAAGUCGAGCGAACAGACGAGGAGCUUGCUCCUCUGACGUUAGCGGCGGACGGGUGAGUAACAUGUGGAUCACCUACCUAUAAGUCUGGGAUAACUUCGGGAAACCGGAGCUAAUACCGUAUAACAUGCUGAACCGCAUGGUUCAACAGUGAAAGACGGUCUUGCUGUCACUUAUAGAGGGAUCCGGGCCGCAUUAGAUAGUUGGUAAGGUAACGGCUUUCCAAGGCAACGAUGCGUAACCGAACUGAGAGGGUGGUAGGCCACAUUGGAACGGGGACACGGUCAAGGCUACUGCGGGAGGCAGCAGUAGGGAAUCUUCGGCAAUGGGCGAAAACCUGACGGAGCAACGCGGAGUGAGUGAAGAAGGUCUUCGGAGCGGAAAGCUCUGUUAUUAGUGAAGAACAGAUGUGGAAGUAAAUAUGCACGUCGUGACGGUACCUAAUAAGAAAGCCACGGCUAACUACGUG